GCAAACUUCCCAAGAGUACAGUGAAGUCACGUAUAGCAUGAUAGCUAUGACUAAUCCAAAGAAUGCAGCUGAUGACACCCACAGUGAUGUCACCUACAGCACUGUAGCUGCACACAGUAGAGGCCUGAGAAAAUCCCUUAGAUACCAAGUAGCAGAUGUCAUCUACAGUGAGGUGGCAACAAAGUGAAGCAAGAUGGCAGCAUACUGAUUCUUCAGGACUCACAAGAAUUAAGAAAAAAAUCAAUGAGCUGAUUUGAGAAUUGUUAUCUUAAUGUGUUUAAUGUUUGAAAUAAUUCAAAUCAAUGGACAUCUUUGUUCUUUGUACUGUAUGUUUUUCCCCCCUGCAUUCUUGAGUUGAGGGUUUAUAACAUUGUUUUUCAUGCUAAACAUUCCCUGAUUGUAUACAUAAACAGUCUAACAGUUGACAUUAAAAUAAAUGCCGAGUUAGUUGUGCCACUGGGUACGUGAGUGUUGAGGGCUCAAACAAUGCUCUCAAUGCUCAAGUUCAUGUGUAGAGACACACUGAUGAUACUUCGGCCAAAGUUUCAUGUUAUGUUGAGCCUUCUUAGUGUUUUAAUAAUAGCGAUUUUGACACGAUCAUGUUCAAAAAACGACAAAGAAAACAUGGACAAGAUUAAAAGUGAUGCCUCUGACGUAAUUAUGCUUUUAAGCGAAGGUUUGACUCGGGUGCAUUCACAAAAACACACUAUGAUGCAUUUUGGCUAAUCUUUAC